GACGAACGCUGGCGGCGUGCCUAAUACAUGCAAGUCGAACGCUGAAGGAGGAGCUUGCUUCUCUGGAUGAGUUGCGAACGGGUGAGUAACGCGUAGGUAACCUGCCUGGUAGCGGGGGAUAACUAUUGGAAACGAUAGCUAAUACCGCAUAAGAGUAGAUGUUGCAUGACAUUUGCUUAAAAGGUGCAAUUGCAUCACUACCAGAUGGACCUGCGUUGUAUUAGCUAGUUGGUGGGGUAACGGCUUACCAAGGCGACGAUACAUAGCCGACCUGAGAGGGUGAGCGGCCACCCUGGGACUGAGACACGGCCCAGACUCCCACGGGAGGCAGCAGGAGGGAAUCUUCGGCAAUGGGCGGAAGGCUGACCGAGCAACGCCGCGUGAGGGAAGAAGGGUUUCGGAUCGGAAAGCUCUGUUGUAAGGGAAGAAAGAGUGUGAGAGUGGAAAGUUCACACUGUGACGGUACCUGAACAGAAAGCGACGGCUAACUACGUG
rnacentral:rRNA from 1 species